UACGUAGGGUGCAAGCGUUAUCCGGAAUUAUUGGGCGUAAAGGGCUCGUAGGCGGUUCGUCGCGUCCGGUGUGAAAGUCCAUCGCUUAACGGUGGAUCUGCGCCGGGUACGGGCGGGCUGGAGUGCGGUAGGGGAGACUGGAAUUCCCGGUGUAACGGUGGAAUGUGUAGAUAUCGGGAAGAACACCAAUGGCGAAGGCAGGUCUCUGGGCCGUUACUGACGCUGAGGAGCGAAAGCGUGGGGAGCGAACAGG
rnacentral:rRNA from 2 species